AUGAUUUGUUGUCUGAAACGGAAGAAAAAAAUUACAAUCAAAGCAAAAUUGUCGUUGUCGGUCGAUCGAAGAACCUAUAUCGAAAUCGAUUCAAAAUCCUCUUAAUUCAUCUUCGCUUAGACAUCAUGACAAAUUAGUAGAUCUACAAAGAGAUCUGAUUCACUUCAUUCGUCUUCGAUUAUACUUCAUGGUUUGAAAAUUAUUAGAUCUAAAAAGAGAUGAUUAGCAAUAUUUUGAUGGAUUCUCAAAAGAAGAAGACCAACAAAGAUAAGUUCUUUUAGUAAGAUUAUUAUAUAACGUGAGCACUUGAUUUGAAGAAGCUACUGCUUCAUUAUUCUUUAGCUCAAUGUUAUAUUCAUUAUACAAAGUUCACUGUCUGCAGGCGAAGUAUCAUUUUGCGCCUCUAAUUCUUAUGGAGCAGAAGCAGUAACGGUUUAAUUUAGAGCAUUCUUGAAAUACCAAGGAUCAGUUGGGAGUUGGAAUCUGAUGGAGGAAAGAGUUUUGGUUUUGUAUUUGGAGGUUUGCAGAGACUUCAAAUUUAAAAGGACUCCAUCAGAGUGUCCUUCACUACUUCCUAAACAACUCUUCUUUGUUGUUUGUUUCUCUUUUGACAAAGACUUGGCAAACCUCAAAGAGUUUCUUGGAUUUAUGGAGGACUCAACUUUUUUGGAUUCUUUUCUGGCACCUUUUUUGGAUCCAGAGGUGUUUGGACAACCUCACUGUCAGGAUUUGUUGUGUUUGUAAUAUUCUGCAAUACUUGAGCAGAAGAAGAAGGAACAACAACAGUAGAAGCAGAGACUUCAUUUUCAUUGCCUGGUAUGUUACUGAUUCCUCCUAACAAUCGAUUGAAA